rnacentral:rRNA from 1 species
CCCUACACCAGACCCAUUGACUGUUUCCAUCCGCAAUCCGGACCCCCGGUUUGCAGCCGAAACUUACGUGGGAUCGGUGUAGGGCACGGCAGACGGCUGCGUAACACGUUGGUACCUACCCCGAACUCAGGGAUAUCCCUCCGAAAGGAGGAGUAAUACCGGAUAGUCCCCCUCACUUUUGUUUUCAGGAAAUGUUUUUGUCGCUUAUGCAUUCGCUGAUGAAGUUUCUAGUUAUUAGUUUUUAGUUCAACUAAAAACUACAAACUAUCAACUAUAAACUUCUCCGGAACAAGAGUGUCGGCAACAACAUUGCCCGAAGCCAAAAGCGAGGGGGUAAAGAUUUAUCGGUUUGGGAGGGGCCUGCGGCCUAUCAGAUAGUUGGUAAGGUAACGGCUUACCAAGUCGAUGACGGGUAGCUGAUUUGAGAGAAUGAUCAGCCAGAAUGGAACUGAGACACGGUCCAUACUCCUACGGGAGGCAGCAGUGAGGAAUCUUCCGCAAUGGGCGAAAGCCUGACGGAGCGACACCGCGUGAAGGAUGAAGCCCUUUUCGGGCGUAAACUUCUGUUCUGAGGGACGAAAUUUUUGACGGUACCUCAGGAGAAAGCAUCGGCUAACCCUGUGCCAGCAGCCGCGGUAAGACAGGGGAUGCAAGCGUUACUCGGAAUUACUGGGCGUAAAGCGUCUGCAGGCCUUCCACCACGUCUGGUGUAAAAGCACGAAGCUCAACUCCGUGUACGUGCCGGAAACGAGUGGAAUAGAGUUACUCAGAGGCAUCUGGAAUGUCGUGUGUAGGGGUAAAAUCCGUAGAUCCACGAUGGAACGCCAAAAGCGAAGGCAGGAUGCU